rnacentral:rRNA from 1 species
UACAGAGGUCUCAAGCGUUGCUCGGAUUCAUUGGGCGUAAAGGGUACGUAGGCGGCGCGGUAAGUGGGUGUGAAAUCUCGGAGCUUAACUCCGAAACUGCAUUCGAUACUGCCGUGCUUGAGGACUGGAGAGGAGACUGGAAUUUACGGUGUAGCGGUGAAAUGCGCAGAUAUCAGGAGGAACACCGGUGGCGAAGGCGGAUCUCUGGGCCUUACCUGACGCUGAGGCGCGAAAGCUAGGGGAGCGAACAGG